AUUGAACGCUGGCGGAAUGCUUUACACAUGCAAGUCGAACGGCAGCACGGGAGCUUGCUCCUGGUGGCGAGUGGCGAACGGGUGAGUAAUACAUCGGAACGUACCCAGUUAUGAGGGAUAACUAACCGAAAGGUUAGCUAAUACCGCAUACGCCCUGAGGGGGAAAGCGGGGGACCGUAAGGCCUCGCGUAAUUGGAGCG
rnacentral:rRNA from 1 species